GAUGAACGCUGGCGGCGUGCCUAAUACAUGCCAGUCGAGCGAACGGACGAGAAGCUUGCUUCUCUGAUGUUAGCGGCGGACGGGUGAGUAACACGUGGACAACCUACCUAUAAGACUGGGAUAACUUCGGGAAACCGGAGCUAAUACCGGAUAAUAUUUUGAACCGCAUGGUUCAAAAGUGAAAGACGGUCUUGCUGUCACUUAUAGAUGGAUCCGCGCUGCAUUAGCUAGUUGGUAAGGUAACGGCUUACCAAGGCAACGAUGCAUAGCCGACCUGAGAGGGUGAUCGGCCACACUGGAACUGAGACACGGUCCAGACUCCUACGGGAGGCAGCAGUAGGGAAUCUUCCGCAAUGGGCGAAAGCCUGACGGAGCAACGCCGCGUGAGUGAUGAAGGUCUUCGGAUCGUAAAACUCUGUUAUUAGGGAAGAACAUAUGUGUAAGUAACUGUGCACAUCUUGACGGUACCUAAUCAGAAAGCCACGGCUAACUACGUG
rnacentral:rRNA from 1 species